AGUGAACGCUGGCGGUAGGCCUAACACAUGCAAGUCGAACGGCAGCACAGUAAGAGCUUGCUCUUACGGGUGGCGAGUGGCGGACGGGUGAGGAAUACAUCGGAAUCUACUUUUUCGUGGGGGAUAACGUAGGGAAACUUACGCUAAUACCGCAUACGACCUACGGGUGAAAGCAGGGGAUCUUCGGACCUUGCGCGAUUGAAUGAGCCGAUGUUGGAUUAGCUAGUUGGCGGGGUAAAGGCCCACCAAGGCGACGAUCCGUAGCUGGUCUGAGAGGAUGAUCAGCCACACUGGAACUGAGACACGGUCCAGACUCCUACGGGAGGCAGCAGUGGGGAAUAUUGGACAAUGGGCGCAAGCCUGAUCCAGCCAUACCGCGUGGGUGAAGAAGGCCUUCGGGUUGUAAAGCCCUUUUGUUGGGAAAGAAAAGCAGCAGGCUAAUACCCCGCUGUUCUGACGGUACCCAAAGAAUAAGCACCGGCUAACUUCGUG
rnacentral:rRNA from 1 species